GGCUGGUGGAGCCCCUGGCCGGCUUCCAGGCAGACUGUGUUCUGAGCUGGGCUUCUCGUGGCCCGGAUGCCAGCAUUUGGCUGUCGCUUCUCUGAAGCUGUUUAAUUUCUCCGGAGAAGAGCCUUGCACCCCUGCCUGGCUUUGGGAGCGAGAAUAGAGUAGGAGAAGCCGGACCCUCUGCUGAGGCCUGCAGUUCAGUCGUUCUCGGCUUCUGCCCGUUCCCUGGACGCCUGGACCCAGGGUGAAGGUGGGCCCUGCUGGGGAGCUGGAGGACAGCGGGGCACCCACAGGUUCCCUCUUUGUAUCCCCGCUGUUCCCCAGGCCUGUGGGCUCACGGUGUCCUCUGUCCACACCCCUCUGAGCCCGGAAACUUCCUGACCUCUCUUGUUUCCCUGCUUUGUCUUUCCCUCUCCCCAUCCUUGUGGUUUUAUAUCACUUAUCAUGUUCAUUGUUUCUUUUUUUUAAUCUAUUUUUCUUCCUUUCCUCCCAUUUUAGUUUUGGGGGAAAGCCAUAAUAACCAUAGGUAGACAGUCACCAUCAUAUCUCUUUUUAAGGAAAUGUUCCUCAAAAUUGGUUCAAAUCAUAAAAAUAAUUCGUGUACAUUUAGACAUCACAGAAGUAGAAAGAACCAAAAAUAUAGUAAUCUAUUGGAGGCUGAUCAGACCCUCAAUCACUUACUCAAGUGUAUGAUGGUGAGAUUAAAAAAGAGAAGAUCUUACUGCAUAAAGGAGGGGCCCAGGGCGGUCAUGGCUCUCAUCAGGCUAAGACACUGUCUCCGGGGCUCGCCAGUAUUUACUGAACACGCAGCUCCUAGAAGGGGUAAGGGCAGAGCAGCGAACAGUGGAGUGGAGGGGGCUGAUUUGAGCAGGGUCCUAGCAACAAGGGAACGAGACAUUCUAGCAAGAGCAGCUCAUAGAUAAAUGGGAGAUUUGUUUCUUCGAGCGGAUUAAUUUUGCCUCUCUAGGAGUUUUCUGUACGAGUUGUGCUGCCCUUAGCGGCACUACUGUCUUGCUAUGCAAGACGUCACAGCAUCACGGAUCAUUGAGACUUCCGCUCUGACCAGUGGUGUGGGGAGUUGUUCCGUUCCCGCACACCAGCUGCCGGCUUUUCAGGCAAGCAUGGUGGGCUAAGAGGCAGACUCAGACUUUUACUAUGAAAGCCAAUUUAUAUGAAUGUGCAGCUCCCUCAGGGUGGUUUCCAUCAGUCAUCCCACUCAUAAGGCACAUUUCCUUCUUACUGUUCUUCAAAGAAUUGUACACAUUUGACAUCAGUCUGUAAAGAUAAUUUUUAUGUUUUGCUCUUUCACUUAUAGUAUUGCAAUGAAAGUUUCCUAUGUUAUGAAACUUCUGGAGAUGUUUUGACAAUAAUUGAUCCUGUGUUGCACAAAAGUUUACUUAGUUAUCUCCUGCGGUUUAGCCUCUAGGCUGUUUUCUAUUAGUUCAUGCUCACGACCUUUGCACAGAAAGCUUGUUUUAUUUUAAAAUUUUUAAAUUUGAGAAGUUUUGUCAUAGAGCAAUAUAGUGGAAGAAAUGCCAGCUUCCAGAUAGACAUUCUUGUCGUAAUCCCCAGAACCCAGGAAGGUGACCUUAUUUGGGAAAAGGGUUGUUGCAGGUGUCACAAAAUGAAGAAUCUUGAAAGGCGAUUUUCCUGGAUUGACUGAGCGGCCUACAGCACGAUGACCAUGUUCUUGGGAGAGAGGAGGGGUCACAGGCUGAGGAAGUGGCUGCCUCCACAGCUGGAAGAGCCCAGGAACAGAAUUUUCUGUCAGCACUGUGGUUGUGGAUUUCUGGCCUCCAGUUCUGCUGUUUGAUGCCAUCGAGUUUGUGGUACUUUGUUACGGUUGCCCCAGAAAACAGACGGGUAAAUUCUUAGAAAUGGUGGCGUUGGUCACAGAUAUGAAUGUUUGCAUGGAAGUUAAGUUAGAAAAAGCGGUACACCCUUCCUACCUGGCUUACACCCUCCUUUUAUCUGAUGCAUUUCUUUCCUGUCAUUGCUUCAGCAUUUACUGAGUGGCGGGUACAUCACAGCACGGGAAACCUUCAAGGGGUUGAGGGUGCCUUUUUCUGUUCAAUGCUGGGGGUUGAACCCAGGGGCUUUGCAGUGAGCUGCAUCUCCAGGCUCUUUUUAAUGUUUUAUUUGGAGACAGGGUCUCGCUAACCCACUAAAUUACCCAGGCUGGGCUUGAGCUUUCAGUCUUCCUGCCUCAGCCUCCCAGAGUGCUGAGGGUAGAGGUGUGCCCCACCAUGCCCGGCUGGGGGCUCUGUUAUGUUCCCCGGUGGUCCCUGGUGCUUAGAGUCCUGCCUGACCCGGGACAGACACUCCGUGUUAAUUUACCGACUGGCUGGUGAUGGGGUACAUGUCACAGUAACUCGUGGCCCCUCCUGGCCAGUGAGGGUUAGGGAGGACCUGCAGGAAGCUCUAAUGUUGGGUGCGUCUGCUGGGGUACCAGGGAGGCCAGAGGCAGGGGCUCUCGGACCGGAGUCACUGAGAGGUACUGCCUGUGCUGAGUCUUGGAGGACAGUGGCCCCGGGGGGCACGGUACCAGGCAGAACCUUCACCCCUUGGUCGGUCACCUUUGCUGCCACCUGCCGGGAACCUUUGGCGACCUGUUUCUCAGGGUGCCCUGUCGGUGGGCCCCAGACUCUGGACAUGCACUGCCACCCUAGAUGGCCCAGUGUGACCAUCCUGGCCCUAACCGGUCUUUUCUUCUGCUCCACAAACCAGCAGCGGGGGCUCCCGUAGAGGGAGCUCGAGUGGCAGUGCCCUUGCCUGCAGUCGGGUUAACAGGCUUCGCGGAGAGCCGGACCCUGCUGCACCGAUAAACCUGCCUCUGGGCCCGGGGCAGGCGCAGGGGUGAAGCCACGUCCCGGCAAAGAGCCCUGACGGUGACCGACCGCUGUCCACACCGGGCUGCGCCCCAGGCCGCCUCUGCGCCACCUCCCAAGCCGCCUGGGUUUGCGUCCGCCGUUUAAUGAGGCCUCCUUCCGAGACUCCAGAAAAGUGUUUUCGGGCGCGAGGCACAGAGUUGGUCAAGGCAGACAGUGCUGGCAGCAGGCCUUGGGCUGGGCAAGCGGAGAAGUAAGGACUCACUGGACUGAUUCAUUGACUCCACUGAGCGGCCCGAUUGGACUUGUGUGUUCUGAAGCAUAACGAGAAGCAUCACUGCUUCACAUUUUUCCCAAAGGGAGGACUUUUUAAAAAUUUGAUAGGUUAAAUUAAAAAGAAUUUUUUUUUGAGUCAAGGUCUCCCUGUGUAGUUCAGACUGGUCUAGAACUCACAGAGAUCUUCCUGCCUCAGCCUCCCAAGUGCUGGAAUUACAGGCACCACACCCAGGUAAAUAUAAAAUCUUUUAUGGAUGUAGAUGACGUCAGUUAUAUUAAAUAUACCCUACAUCAACUAUUUUAAGCAUACAUUUGAAAUUUUACCAGUGGUAGCAUUGAGAAACAGAAUAUGGGUAAUUUAUCCAGAGAUACACAGUUGAAAAGUGAAAGAAAUAGAAUAUAAGCCCUGGCAUUGACUUUAGGGCCCACUGUCCUAACCACUGUGUUAUUAGUAUAGUUACACAUACUAUAUUGUAAGAUAAUAUGUAAUAUAUUACUAAUAUUUAUUAUAUUAUUAAUAUUAAUAUAGAUUAGUAACAUUAUAAAAUGAAUUAAAUUUAUUAAAAAUUUAAUUUAGGAAUAUUGCUUUUUUUCUUAGCAUUCAUGAAACAACUGUUGAAAUGCUCUGUCUACAUUUGUAACAUGAGAGACUUUUCCAAGACUACAGCAUUUUUUUCAGCUCCAUAAUAAGUUUUUAAAAAAUGUUUUGAUUCAUGUAUGUUUGUGAUACAUAGUAACUACAUUCCCCUUGCUGAAUUGAUAUGUAUAUAAAUAUAUUGCAUUGCAUCUUGGUCUUUUUCCUCCUGCUCCUCCUUCCCCCCCCAUCUCCACAGAGUCUACUUCCUUGUUUCUUAUUGUUUCUUUUAUUUUGCUCUUUAUGUUAUUUAUAUUUUUGGUUUCUCUUAUUAGAAAGCCAUGUUAUAUUUAAGCUUCUGUAUCUGUUUUAUUUCAUUCAGUAUUUCAGUCUCAAGACUCAUUUAUUUCCCUACAUGUAACUGGAAUGUACCUUCUUUAUGGCUGAGUAGUACUCCACCGGUUGCUGCAGACAUCACUGCACAUAGGAGUCAUCCGGGAUCAUGCAGAUUCUGGGUGUGCAUUUCUAACAAGCUCCCCACUGUUGCAUCUCCUCUGCCUGCAGGGUGAAGCAUGAGAAUCUGGUCAGGUGCACACUUUGCAGACUUCUAUCUGAGCCGCCAGAGGUUGGUUUUGGGGCUGUUUUACCCGUUCCAGGGUAUUUUGUCUUUAGCACAUUAGGACGCUUGAGUUUUUCUUUAUCCUGUGGGUUAUUUCUUUAUAACCAUGGUCUCCAGGGGGCCGGCACUCACCAGUUUGCUUUGAAGUCACCUCUGAGAGGCUCCUUGGACUCCUCAACGCCCAGCGGGACUAUGGAUGGCGCCAGGCUUAACUGCUUUGGGCCCAGCUAGCGCCCUCAAGUGGCGUCAGCCAACGUGGCUUCCGGAGAAGAACAGUUGCUUCAACUGCAGCCUCUGCAAGAGAGCGCCGCACCACGGAGCACCAGCAGAUGGCGCUGUGUCCCUGGGAACGAGGCGCCCGUGGCGGUGGCUGGGCGUGGCUGCUGGGGUAGGCGGGUGCCGCUGAGACUCGCGGGCUUCCUGCUGGAACCAUCCUGUGAAGAGCAGAUCGGGCAGGUUUAUGCGUUGUGGCAGAAACCCAGGCUGCUGAGGCCCGCUGUGUCCUGCGCAGAAACGGAAGCUGUGCGGUCACUCUGUCACUCUUUGCCCUUGCUGUUCUGCAAACCCCGGGGGGGAGGCCUGGUGGCCCAUGGUGGGUGCCAAGAAACACCUGAUGCAUUGAGCCGAACCCAGCACAUCCUGGCCUCUGAACAGGAAAUGCAGAUUUUAGUUUUAAUUCUAGCUCUGGGGACAACAGAACUGCCAUGUAACACCUCCGAGGCUCAAUGUCACCAUCUGUCACUCGGGGAUAAUAAAAUCUAUUCCCUGGGCUGUGGGAAGAAUUAACGAACUUGUACACAAGGCGCUCAUGGCCAGGGGUCUUUCCUGGUGGCAGUGCUGGUGGAAAAUGAAGGGCUCGUUUGGAAGGAAGAUUGGAGAUGUUGGGAUGAGGGAGAGACUGGAGUCCUGGGUGUCCCCAAGGCCAGUCCUGGGAGGUUCCUGCUCCCGAUGACACGGGCCACCGAGAGCAUAAACGUGUACAGGAGAGAGAAAGUGAGCGGAGUAACCUGGCACCGAGAGCUUGACCCAAACCCCGCGAAGUGUGCAGACUGUGAGAGCCAGGUGUGGCCAGGAAGAGGUCCCUCUCCAGCUAUGUGACCCUGCACCACACCCACAUGUCUCUCAGGCUGCUGGGGUGGAGGUUUUCAUCAGCACAGAUGGGAUUUCGGUCUUUGGUUAAUCCUGCUGGGUG
ensembl:lncRNA